CUGCAUGAUGAAGGGAUGAUGGGUGAGCUACCAAGGCUAACAUUUUCCCGAGGACAUUGAGUUAGGGAAGUGGCCUCUCCUUGAGGGAAGGAGCCAGAUGACUUCUCAGAGAACAACAACCAUAUUCAAAAUAUUCUCAAGUUUCUUUUGUUUCUUCUUGUCUGCAUCUGAUAUCCAGGACAUUAUUCCACAGGAAAAGGUUAACAGGAAAUCAAGAUCGGCCCGGAUGCUGGGGAUGCCUUGGUGAAAAAAUU
rnacentral:lncRNA from 10 species